GCAUAAUCGUAAAGUAGUAAAUUUAGUCAAAGGAUAUACAUUUAUUUUAACUUUUUAACUAAGAUGCUGUUUGCAUAUUGGCCGCUAGGGAGCAGCAAAGACAACAUACAGAAAAAGGAUACUUCCAGCGGACCCCCAGCAUUGCAAGGGUUGGAAGAAUUGCCGGAAAAGUGUGGCAAGCAGGGUCGGAAGACUAUUUUCAAGAAAAAGAAGAAAGUAGGAGUGCAUAAGAGCUGGGCUGCACAG